rnacentral:lncRNA from 1 species
AGGCGGCGGUGCUCAGUGGUCGGUUACUGAGGGGCCUUGUGGCAACAAGGUGACAUAGGACAAACAGCACUCAGGUGAGCACCUGGAAAAGGCUGUUGAAGCACACAGGCACUAGAACUACUUUAUGAGCAUAAUUCCUUGGACCAUAAUCGUCACCUGAGGAAGCCGCGUGAGACACCAGUCUUAGGAUUCCAAAGUGAAGAGGAACGUGCCCUCCUCGAUGAACGCCUGUGGAAGCCUUUGAGCAGCCCUUUCAUGGCGGAAGAGAGGGCAACUCUGAGGUGAUGGAGCAGCGGCUAGGCAGAGGGCUGCUGAGGAAGCAGAGGGAGGAUCGCUUCAGCUCUCGGCAGGCUGGAGCCUCAGAGCAAACCUCAAGUAACUUUCUGUGGAUGCUGUGAGGGUUUCCAUUGCUGUGAAGAGUCACCACAACCAAGGCAACUCUUACAAAGGACAACAUUUAAUUGGGGCUGGCUUACAAUUUCAGAGGUUUAGUCCAUUAUCAGCUUGGCAGGAAGCAUGGUGGCGUCCAGGCAAACAUGAUGCUGGAAAAGGAACUGAGAGCUUUACAUCUUGAUCCAACUGCAUCCAAGAGAAGAUUGACUGUCUCCCAGGCACCUAGGAGGAGGGAAUCAAAGCCGACCCCACAGUGAAACACUUUCUCCAACAAGGCCACACCUCCUAAUAAUGCCACUCCCUGGGCCAAGCAUAUUCAAAGCACCACACCAUCAUUGGGAACUCACUUUCACAAAUGAGAAUGUAGAGGCAGUGUUAGGACAGAGUCAGACUUUAGGUGUAGAUAUUGCCAUUCUAAAGACCAUGCUCCUGAUGGCUAUUCCAUUACUACCUGUCUUAAGGACACUGACAUUGAUACUUUGUGGGAAUUUUACAUCUUAUACAUGAGGAUUCCUAGUAGUCAUUUAACGUCUAUACCUUCUUCCCCCCCCCUUUAUCUUGCAAACUACUUAUAUUUGAGUGUCUAUUUUUAGAAACUUCUAUGCAACACUUUCACUCUGAUGUGGUGACUUCCAAGUAAUAUAGGUACAGACUAUAAGCCAUGUCUUGGCCAUGAGGACUCUCAGUAUCCUGUACAAAUUAAUGACUUCCCAUUCUCCUUAAUGUUAGCUUAGUCUUGUUAAUCACCAUUAAAUUUAAUUUUAACAAGAUACAUGCAUGCCAAUUGGCUCCUCUAAAUUUAUUUCUUGUAGGUAGAUAUUCCUAUGAUCCUGUAUUUCACCAUGGUCAGAUUAACAAUUUUUGCUCAGCAAUAUUAGCAUUGUGUUAACAUUCACUGCCUGAAUGCACAGUACUUGGCUUCUCUUUGCAAGUGUUAUUGAGAAGGAAAUAGCCAUUUUGCUAAGGAGCAACAUUUUAAAUUUGCUUUAUUUCUAGAUUGUGAGGACUUCCUUUGCUUUUGUUUGAUGAUUUUUAAAUGGUAUUUGUGCGCUGGUUAAAAGGGCAGCCUCAGAGGACCCCAACUGUAUUGGUGCCACAUUAAUGGAAGAAAGCUCAGCGCAUCCAUUUGAAUUAAUUCCACAGAGACAGAGCUCAAGUUUGAAGCCUCCACUUCUGUCUCUGACACAUCUUCCAUCUGUCAGUAGCUUAUGGCUUUUGGCCUAUCUGAAAUAUGUAAGGUGUGUGUGGCCGCCCUGUUCUGAUUGCCUAAGUGUUGUCCUCAACAAAAAGUUUUCUCGCUAUUGCUUGGACAGCACAGAACCUUGGCAUGGGGGGUGAAUGAGGGAGGAGACUUUACAGAAAGCUUUAUCAGAGCUUUACAAGCAGUUUAACUUGCCAGACCCCGGAGCACUCAGAGCGACAUACCCUUUUCAAGCAAUACCCGUGCACUGUUUCCAACGUUUAUGGUGAAUAUUCAUUGUAUACAUUGCUUUUGACCUGAUUGCUGCUUUCAACAAAUGGUUGCCAUAACAUGCAUACAAACACACAUGCAUUGCUCUCUGGGUCAGAGGCAAGAAAUAAUGAACACUUCCAGAUUAUAGUUGUGCCUUAGCCCUGCAUGUACAUGCUAAUUAUUUGGAAAAUCCGGGGCAAGUAAGGUUGGCUAUGUUAUUCUCUUAAAGACAGGUUAAACAGACAACCUGAGCACACAGCAGGGUAUCAGGCUAAAUCUUAAGUGACCUCCACACGUAUUUCUUAACAUGACUGUGAGUUCCCAUCUCUUUGAGUGUAAGAGAUAUUUUCAUACAAAUGCAUUAACACAUACUUGACACCCAAAAGGAAGAUAACAGAGGUUUCUUGUCCUCAUUUAAACAGAAGGUGGGAAAGGGUACAAAUUAAUGAGAAAGCUGUGGGUUCCUUUUCUCCCUAUCUUUGUCUUGUUGUCAAGAGGGCCGUGCGAACACUUAUUAAAGGUUAUUUUUGAAUC